ACAACUUUCAGCGACGGAUAUCUCGGCUCAGGCACCUAUGAAGGGCGCAGCGAAGUGCGAUAGUCUUUGUGAAUGCAGAUCUCCGUGAACCAAUGGCCCCCUGAACGCGCAUUGCACUCUUGGGACUUCCUGAGAGUAUGUUUGCUUCAGUGCUU
rnacentral:rRNA from 1 species